rnacentral:tRNA from 1 species
ACCUGGCUGGCUCAAUCCCUAGAGCAUGUGACUUUUGAUCUUGAGGUUAUGAGUUCAAGCCCCGUGUUGGGUA